rnacentral:tRNA from 1 species
AUCUUUCUAGUAUCAAUAGUACAAAUGACUUCCAAUCAUUUAGUCUUGGUUAGAAUCCAAGGAAAGAUA